rnacentral:rRNA from 1 species
AUCUGCGAUAAGCGCCGGUAAGGUGAUAUGAACCGUUAUAACCGGCGAUACCCGAAUGGGGAAACCCAGUGUGACUCGUCACACUAUCAUUAACUGAAUCCAUAGGUUAAUGAGGCGAACCGGGGGAACUGAAACAUCUAAGUACCCCGAGGAAAAGAAAUCAACCGAGAUUCCCCCAGUAGCGGCGAGCGAACGGGGAGGAGCCCAGAGCCUGAAUCAGCAUGUGUGUUAGUGGAAGCGUCUGGAAAGGCGCGCGAUACAGGGUGACAGCCCCGUACACAAAAGCGCAUGUGCUGUGAGCUCGAUGAGUAGGGCGGGACACGUGGUAUCCUGUCUGAAUAUGGGGGGACCAUCCUCCAAGGCUAAAUACUCCUGACUGACCGAUAGUGAACCAGUACCGUGAGGGAAAGGCGAAAAGAACCCCGGCGAGGGGAGUGAAAAAGAACCUGAAACCGUGUACGUACAAGCAGUGGGAGCACAGGUUUACCUGUGUGACUGCGUACCUUUUGUAUAAUGGGUCAGCGACUUAUAUUCUGUAGCAAGGUUAACCGAAUAGGGGAGCCGGAGGGAAACCGAGUCUUAAUUGGGCGUUAAGUUGCAGGGUAUAGACCCGAAACCCGGUGAUCUAGCCAUGGGCAGGUUGAAGGUUGGGUAACACUAACUGGAGGACCGAACCGACUAAUGUUGAAAAAUUAGCGGAUGACCUGUGGCUGGGGGUGAAAGGCCAAUCAAACCGGGAGAUAGCUGGUUCUCCCCGAAAGCUAUUUAGGUAGCGCCUCGUGAAUUCAUCUCCGGGGGUAGAGCACUGUUUCGGCUAGGGGGCCAUCCCGGCUUACCAACCCGAUGCAAACUGCGAAUACCGGAGAAUGUUAUCACGGGAGACACACGGCGGGUGCUAACGUCCGUCGUGAAGAGGGAAACAACCCAGACCGCCAGCUAAGGUCCCAAAGUCAUGGUUAAGUGGGAAACGAUGUGGGAAGGCCCAGACAGCCAGGAUGUUGGCUUAGAAGCAGCCAUCAUUUAAAGAAAGCGUAAUAGCUCACUGGUCGAGUCGGCCUGCGCGGAAGAUGUAACGGGGCUAAACCAUGCACCGAAGCUGCGGCAGCGACACUGUGUGUUGUUGGGUAGGGGAGCGUUCUGUAAGCCUGCGAAGGUGGCCUGUGAGGGUUGCUGGAGGUAUCAGAAGUGCGAAUGCUGACAUAAGUAACGAUAAAGCGGGUGAAAAGCCCGCUCGCCGGAAGACCAAGGGUUCCUGUCCAACGUUAAUCGGGGCAGGGUGAGUCGACCCCUAAGGCGAGGCCGAAAGGCGUAGUCGAUGGGAAACGGGUUAAUAUUCCCGUACUUGGUGUUACUGCGAAGGGGGGACGGAGAAGGCUAUGUUGGCCGGGCGACGGUUGUCCCGGUUUAAGCGUGUAGGUGUGUGUUCCAGGUAAAUCCGGUUCACUUUAACACUGAGGCGUGACGACGAGGCACUACGGUGCUGAAGCAACAAAUGCCCUGCUUCCAGGAAAAGCCUCUAAGCAUCAGGUAACAUCAAAUCGUACCCCAAACCGACACAGGUGGUCAGGUAGAGAAUACCAAGGCGCUUGAGAGAACUCGGGUGAAGGAACUAGGCAAAAUGGUGCCGUAACUUCGGGAGAAGGCACGCUGACACGUAGGUGAAGUGAUUUACUCAUGGAGCUGAAGUCAGUCGAAGAUACCAGCUGGCUGCAACUGUUUAUUAAAAACACAGCACUGUGCAAACACGAAAGUGGACGUAUACGGUGUGACGCCUGCCCGGUGCCGGAAGGUUAAUUGAUGGGGUCAGCGCAAGCGAAGCUCCUGAUCGAAGCCCCGGUAAACGGCGGCCGUAACUAUAACGGUCCUAAGGUAGCGAAAUUCCUUGUCGGGUAAGUUCCGACCUGCACGAAUGGCGUAAUGAUGGCCAGGCUGUCUCCACCCGAGACUCAGUGAAAUUGAACUCGCUGUGAAGAUGCAGUGUACCCGCGGCAAGACGGAAAGACCCCGUGAACCUUUACUAUAGCUUGACACUGAACAUUGAGCCUUGAUGUGUAGGAUAGGUGGGAGGCUUUGAAGUGUGGACGCCAGUCUGCAUGGAGCCGACCUUGAAAUACCACCCUUUAAUGUUUGAUGUUCUAACGUGGACCCGUUACCCGGGUUGCGGACAGUGUCUGGUGGGUAGUUUGACUGGGGCGGUCUCCUCCUAAAGAGUAACGGAGGAGCACGAAGGUUGGCUAAUCCUGGUCGGACAUCAGGAGGUUAGUGCAAUGGCAUAAGCCAGCUUGACUGCGAGCGUGACGGCGCGAGCAGGUGCGAAAGCAGGUCAUAGUGAUCCGGUGGUUCUGAAUGGAAGGGCCAUCGCUCAACGGAUAAAAGGUACUCCGGGGAUAACAGGCUGAUACCGCCCAAGAGUUCAUAUCGACGGCGGUGUUUGGCACCUCGAUGUCGGCUCAUCACAUCCUGGGGCUGAAGUAGGUCCCAAGGGUAUGGCUGUUCGCCAUUUAAAGUGGUACGCGAGCUGGGUUUAGAACGUCGUGAGACAGUUCGGUCCCUAUCUGCCGUGGGCGCUGGAGAACUGAGGGGGGCUGCUCCUAGUACGAGAGGACCGGAGUGGACGCAUCACUGGUGUUCGGGUUGUCAUGCCAAUGGCACUGCCCGGUAGCUAAAUGCGGAAGAGAUAAGUGCUGAAAGCAUCUAAGCACGAAACUUGCCCCGAG